rnacentral:rRNA from 1 species
AUUGAACGCUGGCGGCAGGCUUAACACAUGCAAGUCGAGCGGAGCGAGGGUGCUUGCACCUUAGCUUAGCGGCGGACGGGUGAGUAAUGCUUAGGAAUCUGCCUAUUAGUGGGGGACAACAUUCCGAAAGGAAUGCUAAUACCGCACACGCCCUACGGGGGAAAGCAGGGGAUCUUCGGACCUUGCGCUAAUAGAUGAGCCUAAGUCGGAUUAGCUAGUUGGUGGGGUAAAGGCCUACCAAGGCGACGAUCUGUAGCGGGUCUGAGAGGAUGAUCCGCCACACUGGGAACGGGACACGGCCCAGACUCCUACGGGAGGCAGCAGUGGGGAAUAUUGGACAAUGGGCGGAAGCCUGAUCCAGCCAUGCCGCGUGUGUGAAGAAGGCCUUUUGGUUGUAAAGCACUUUAAGCGAGGAGGAGGCUACUUAGAUUAAUACUCUGGGAUAGUGGACGUUACUCGCAGAAUAAGCACCGGCUAACUCUGUGCCAGCCGCCGCGGUAA